GAUCACUAUCACUAUGUCGAGCUUUCUGCGACAAAAGUCACAGGCUCCACAAUAAAAAGUAUAUAUAGCAUUCAGAAAAUUAAUUUAUACAGAAUAACAAACAAACUUACCACGAAGUUCUUCCAAAAAUUUACAAAAAUAAAUGGGGAAUGUGUCCAUGGGACACAGAUAAUGCCCCCGCUUGCAUAUCAUAUAAAGUUAUAAAGGAACAUAACUGAAGAAUGGUAAAAGUGACACUACCCAAAUUUGUACUUGAUCUGAGUUUUGUUGCAAUAAGUAUUGUGUAUAAGUUUCAUAACAUUUGGUUGAGGCAAACGUAAGUUAGAGAACGGAAACUAAAAAUUCAGCAAUUUUUCCAUUUGUAAAGGGGCAUUACUCUAGAACAGUAAAAGUGACACCACCAAAAUUCAAACUUGAUCUGUGUUUUGUGGUAAUAAGCAUUGUGUAUAAGUUUCAUAACAUUUGGUUGAGGCUAACUUAAGUUAGAGAACAGAAACGAAAAAUUCAGCAAUUUUUCCAUUUGUAAACAGGCAUAACUCUAGAACUGUUAAAGUGACGCCACCAAAAUUCAAACUUGAUCUGUGUUUAGUGGUAAUAAGCAUUGUGUAUAAGUUUCAUAACAUUUGGCUGAGGCAAACUAAAGUUAGAGAAUGGAAACCAAUUUUGGAACGUACAGACAUACAGACGGACAAGGAUAAAACGAUAUGCCCCCUCAGCUACGAAGGGGACAUAAAAACCCUCGAAUUGAAUUUUGGACCCUUUGGACUUGAAUGUGGACCAAUUUGAAAACCUGGCCUAAAAUUAAUAAAUUGCUUCGCUGAGCGCAGCUGGAUAUGACUGCAGAGGUCCAACCCUGAACAGUUGGGGCAAAAAUGGACACAAUAUUCAAGCUUGAUUCAGGUCUGAAUUUGGAUUGUAAUUAAAUAUUUGACAUAUUAUAGGUUUCUGAAUAAAUGUAGUCAAAGAACUUGAAAUUGGUUAUAUGAAUUGAAUUUAUAUUCAAUUAAAGAUUUCUUGCUGUUGUGCAAUAGUCCCCAAUACUUAGUAAAUCUGUUGUCAGACUAUAAACAAAUAUAGUUCUAUUAAUUCUCAAUGUCAUAUUACAAAUUUAUGGAAAUAAAAAGGGAGCUUACAUCAAUAGAUAUAAACAAUUCACCAAAGUUUCAUGAGAAUUGGUGACAGCAUUUUUGAGUUAUUGUCCAUAAACUGGAAAAUCACCCCUUUUUUUAAUGAAUAAAACCCCAUAACUCAGAAAUGUAAAAUGUAAAAGUUAUAAAAUUCUAAAGGGAGCUUACAUCAAUACAUACAAACAAUUCACCAAAGUUUCAUACGAAUUACUGAAAGAAUUUUUGAGUUUUUGUCCGAAAACUGAAAAAUCCCCCCUUUUUUUAUGAAUAAAACCCUGUAACUCAGAAACGUAAAAUUUUUAAUUUAUAAAAAUCGAAAGGGAGCUCAUGUCAAAAGAUAUAAACAAUUCACCACGAUUUCUUGCAAGUUGGUGAAAGCAUUCUUGACUUAUUGUCUGAAAACUGGAAAAUCCCCCUUUUUUUAAUGAAUAAAACCCCAUAACUCGGAAACGUCAAAUCUAAAUUUUAUAAAAAACGAAAGGGAGCUCACGUCAAUAGAUAUAAACAAUUCACCAAAGUUUUAUGCAAAUUGGUUAAAGCAUUUUUGAGUUAAUGUCCGACAUGUUGACGACGGACAGACGGACGGACGGACGGACAGACGGACAACGGUAUACCAUAAUACGUCCCGUAAACGGGCGUAUAAAAAUG